rnacentral:rRNA from 1 species
UGGGGAAUAUUGCGCAAUGGGGGAAACCCUGACGCAGCGACGCCGCGUGAGCGAAGAAGGCCUUCGGGUUGUAAAGCUCUGUUGUAAGGGACGAAAGAUCAAGGGAAUAACUGCCCUUGAAGUGACGGUACCUUACCAGCAAGCCCCGGCUAACUACGUGCCAGCAGCCGCGGUAAGACGUAGGGGGCGAGCGUUGUCCGGAAUUACUGGGCGUAAAGAGCACGUAGGCGGAUGUAUAAGUCAGGUGUGAAAGACCGCAGCCUAACUGCGGGGUUGCACUUGAAACUGUAUAUCUUGAGGGCAGGAGAGGUUAGUAGAAUUCCUGGUGUAGCGGUGAAAUGCGUAGAAAUCAGGAGGAAUACCAGUGGCGAAGGCGACUGACUGGACUGACCCUGACGCUGAGGUGCGAAAGCGUGGGUAGCAAACAGG